GCUGGGGUGGGUUUAGCCCCCUGCACUACGCCGCUCUCCAGGGCAACAGGCCUCUCGUCAACCUCUUGGUGAGCCAUGGUGCUGACUGCAACGCGCUCUGCCAAGCAGGCCAGACACCCUUUCAUUUCGCCAGCAGGUCCGUGUUCCCUUCACGAUUUGCCUGUACCUCUCCUCAGUACAGCAAGUUAUGUACCACCAUCACUUCAUCCUGCUGCUGUAAUAGCAUUUCACGUGUCUCUGGCCGUUAACGUGUUGUGGAAAGAGGAAAGUGGAAGAGGAAACGUGCGGGAGCACCAUCCAAAAAUCUCCAAAUAUAUCACACAUAAAUUUUCUUUAUUCCCAGACAGGGCAAUGUCUACAUUAUGCAUCAGAUGCUUCAACAUGGCGCAGACCUUCGUAUUGCUGACCUUCAGGGAAAAACUGCCUUUCUGCAUGCGGUCUCUGGCGGGAGUGUGGUUGCUGUGCAAUACUUGUCUGAGACCAAGAUGUUCAGUUUUUCUGACACUGACAAUUUCCUGAUCAGUCCGCUGCACCUGGCGGCCUCCACGGGCAAUCUAGACAUGGUGAAGUACUUGCUGAGGAACAACAGGUGUGCGGCCGAUGCCUCCGACCAACAGGGGGCAACAGCACUGCAUGUGGCUGCAGAGAGGGGGGCAGUAGAAGUGAGUUGGCUGCUGAUGCGAGAGGCUGGCCUGCAGGCUUUGCACCUGCGCAACCAUAAUGGGUUCACCCCCCUUGACCUGUGUCGACAAGGGGCCACCUUCAGACAUCAACAAUUAGCACAGAUUUUAAUGAAGUUCAUCAGCGUGCCAGCUGAUCACAGACCUGAAGAGUCACAUGGCAUGUACUACUGGGCCCUCCUGUUCCCAUCUCUCAGUGGUGGAGCCAUCUUCCUAAUGGCUGUGUUACUGGGCGGCUACGGAGGGAUACUGUGUGUCCUGCUCUUCCCCUGGCUGGCCAAGUGCAUUUUCACCCAGUACCACAGAAUGAGCAGCUACCAAAGGCAAGUGACCCUGAGUCCUAAGCCAUGUAAGCACCCAUCAUUGGAAGGUGCAUUGGAGAGUAUGGCUGGCAGCUGACCUGGACACCUUAGUCCAAGUAACCAGCCUGCAUUUCAGCAAUCAGGACCACAAUAUUGUUGUGGUUGCUGGCCUUAUAGGUUAAGUCCCCUGUGCCAUUGCAACGAACAAAAGCCCCCUCAUUACUGUUAGAUGUUAGAUGAAACGCCAAGAUGGGAUCAGUGCCGUUGCUCAGUCUAAUCUAACUGGAUUUCAGAUUGCCCAACCCUGUUUACCUGGGUACUCUGGCAGCUGGGAUACUGCACUCGCUGGUGUGCUUUUAUGUCAAGAUCAUGCCGAAUAUCCUUUAUCUUAUCCAGUCUGAGUGAUUUUAGAGUGGACAUAAAAUUGAGAAUGUUGAGGUUCCUUAAUGAAGAUCUACAUAUCCAGCCUUCUAAUUCAUUGCUCCACGUGUCCAUCAUCCACUUCUCCUUGGUUCUGUGGCUGUUCUGGCAUCUUCUCAUCAAGAAUCCUGGACAUAUGCAGGGGGCUGAUGCCGACCCCAGGUUUUCCAGCAUUGCUGACCUCGUGGAAGCCAACGAAAGCCUCAGUAGGUUUUGCAUUGAAUGCGAGGUAAGAGUUCACACUGUCCAUUGCGUGCUGUUAUUGCACUGUAACACACUGCAAAAACACAGAAAUUUUACCUGUCAUUUAAAGGGCAGAUUUUUACUUUUCAUCGUUUUUACCCAUAACGGAAAUACUUACUGUCCACUUUCUUUGAUAUUCGUCAGAUGUUGUUGUAGAAUAAAGAAGUAAAACAGUCCCUCCA
rnacentral:lncRNA from 1 species